AAUAAGCGGAGGAAAAGAAACCAACAGGGAUUGCCCCAGUAACGGCGAGUGAAGCGGCAAAAGCUCAAAUUUGAAAUCUGGUUCCGUUGGAGCCCGAGUUGUAAUUUGUAGAGGAUAUUUCGGGCGCGGUGCCGGUCGAAGUCCUUUGGAACAGGGCGUCACAGAGGGUGAGAAUCCCGUACGUGGCCGGCGGCCAACCCCAUGUGAAACUCCUUCGACGAGUCGAGUUGUUUGGGAAUGCAGCUCAAAAUGGGUGGUAAAUUUCAUCUAAAGCUAAAUACCGGCCAGAGACCGAUAGCGCACAAGUAGAGUGAUCGAAAGAUGAAAAGCACUUUGGAAAGAGAGUUAAAAAGCACGUGAAAUUGUUGAAAGGGAAGCGCUUGCGACCAGACCUGCCCGUGGGUGCUCAGCGGCGGUUUUUCCGCCGUGCACUUGCCCACGAUCAGGCCAGCAUCAGUUCCGGCGACCGGAUAAAGGCUCGAGGAAUGUAGCUCCUCUUGGGGAGUGUUAUAGCCUUGGGUGGCAUGCGGCCAGCUGGGACUGAGGCCCGCGCUUCGGCAAGGAUGCUGGCGUAAUGGUUGCAAGCGACC
rnacentral:rRNA from 1 species